rnacentral:rRNA from 1 species
CCCAGACUCCUACGGGAGGCAGCAGUGGGGGAUAUUGCACAAUGGGGGGAACCCUGAUGCAGCGACGCCGCGUGGGUGAAGAAGUAUUUCGGUAUGUAAAGCCCUAUCGGCAGGGAAGAAAUUGGACGGUACCUGACUAAGAAGCCCCGGCUAACUACGUGCCAGCAGCCGCGGUAAUACGUAGGGGGCAAGCGUUAUCCGGAUUCACUGGGUGUAAAGGGAGCGUAGACGGCCAUGCAAGCCUGGAGUGAAAGCCCGGGGCCCAACCCCGGGACUGCUCUGGGAACUGUGCGGCUGGAGUGCGGGAGGGGCAGGCGGAAUUCCUGGUGUAGCGGUGAAAUGCGUAGAUAUCAGGAGGAACACCGGCGGCGAAGGCGGCCUGCUGGACCGCGACUGACGUUGAGGCUCGAAAGCGUGGGGAGCAAACAGGAUUAGAUACCCUGGUACG